rnacentral:rRNA from 1 species
AGUGAACGCUGGCGGUAGGCCUAACACAUGCAAGUCGAACGGCAGCACAGUAAGAGCUUGCUCUUACGGGUGGCGAGUGGCGGACGGGUGAGGAAUACAUCGGAAUCUACUUUUUCGUGGGGGAUAACGUAGGGAAACUUACGCUAAUACCGCAUACGACCUACGGGUGAAAGCAGGGGAUCUUCGGACCUUGCGCGACUGAAUGAGCCGAUGUCGGAUUAGCUAGUUGGCGGGGUAAAGGCCCACCAAGGCGACGAUCCGUAGCCGGUCUGAGAGGAUGAUCAGCCACACUGGAACUGAGACACGGUCCAGACUCCUACGGGAGGCAGCAGUGGGGAAUAUUGGACAAUGGGCGCAAGCCUGAUCCAGCCAUACCGCGUGGGUGAAGAAGGCCUUCGGGUUGUAAAGCCCUUUUGUUGGGAAAGAAAAGCAGCAGGUUAAUACCCCGCUGUUCUGACGGUACCCAAAGAAUAAGCACCGGCUAACUUCGUG